GAACGCUGGCGGCGUGCUUAACACAUGCAAGUCGAGCGGUAAGGCCCUUCGGGGUACACGAGCGGCGAACGGGUGAGUAACACGUGGGUGAUCUGCCUCGCACUCUGGGAUAAGCCUGGGAAACUGGGUCUAAUACCGGAUAUGACCACCGGUCGCAUGGUUGGUGGUGGAAAGAUUUAUCGGUGCGAGAUGGGCCCGCGGCCUAUCAGCUUGUUGGUGGGGUAAUGGCCUACCAAGGCGACGACGGGUAGCCGGCCUGAGAGGGCGACCGGCCACACUGGGACUGAGACACGGCCCAGACUCCUACGGGAGGCAGCAGUGGGGAAUAUUGCACAAUGGGCGAAAGCCUGAUGCAGCGACGCCGCGUGAGGGAUGACGGCCUUCGGGUUGUAAACCUCUUUCGACAGGGACGAAGCGCAAGUGACGGUACCUGUAGAAGAAGCACCGGCCAACUACGUGCCAGCAGCCGCGGUAAUACGUAGGGUGCGAGCGUUGUCCGGAAUUACUGGGCGUAAAGAGCUUGUAGGCGG
rnacentral:rRNA from 1 species